rnacentral:rRNA from 1 species
UGGGAAGUAUUGCAUCAAUGGGCGGCAAGCCAUGACUGCAGCCAUGCCGCGCUGUAUGAAGAAGGCCAAUUCGGGGCUUUGGUUAAAGAUACUUUCAGCGAGGAGGAAGGCAUUAAGGUUAAUAACCUUAGUGAUUGACGUUACUCGCAGAAGAAGCACCGGCUAACUCCGUGCCAGCAGCCGCGGUAAUACGGAGGGUGCAAGCGUUAAUCGGAAUUACUGGGCGUAAAGCGCACGCAGGCGGUCUGUCAAGUCGGAUGUGAAAUCCCCGGGCUCAACCUGGGAACUGCAUCCGAAACUGGCAGGCUAGAGUCUUGUAGA